AUGGCAAAAGCACCCAUGGACAUGCUUCAGCUCUCCUGCAUCCAAAUAGCCAUAGCCUUGCUCUUGUUCACUCAAGCCAAGAGCACCACACAGGACACAUCUGCCCUGCAUCCAAAGGAUGCGAUCCCCAGUUGUGUUGCCGGUGAGAGGUCUGCCCUUCUGGCCUUCAGGGCAGGUCUAUCAGACCCUGCCAACCUCCUUCCAUCAUGGAAGAGUGAUGCCUGCUGCCGAUGGAAGGGCGUCUACUGCAGCAACAGAACCGGCCAUGUUGUCAGGCUCGAUCUCCGAGGCACUGAAGACGGAACCGGGCAGGCGCUAGCAGGCAACAUAAGCUCCUCGUUGCUUCGUUUACAUCAUCUUCGGUAUCUCGACCUCAGCUGGAACAGCUUCGACAAGAUACAAAUACCGGAGUUCAUGGGUUCUCUCCAUCAGCUGAGAUAUCUCGACCUAUCGUGGUCAGGAUUCAUUGGAAGGAUACCACCACAGCUGGGUAAUCUCUCCAACUUACAGUACCUAAAUCUUGAGACCUACUCAUACAGGAGUGUUGAUUCUUCUUUCCAUAGAGGCACACACUCUACUGAUAUCACCUGGUUGUCGUGGUUAACUUCUCUUGAGCAUCUGGAUAUGACUGGGGUGAACCUCAGUACAAUUGUCCACUGGCUUCCGGUUGUGAACAUGCUUCCAACUCUUAAAGUUCUCCGUCUUGCCAAUUGCCAGCUUAGAAGUAGCCCUGAUUCUCUUCCACUCUCAAACCUGACAUCUCUUGAAACACUUGACCUUUCACGCAACCACCUUCAUAAACUAGACAUGUCGAGCAAUGGUUUCUAUGGCCCUUUUCCGGACGAGAUAGGUAAUAUGACCUCGAUUGUGGAGCUUGAUUUAUCAUAUAAUAACCUAGUGGGCAUGAUACCAUCCAACUUACAGAACCUAUGUAAUUUGGAGAUAUUAGAUUUUUCUAUGAACAACAUCAACGGGAGUAUAGCAGAGUUAUUCCAUCGAUUAUUCCAUCGAUUACCAAACUGUUCACAGAAUAAAUUACAGGACUUGUUUCUGCGGCAAAGCAAUCUGAUUGGAAGCCUGCCAACUGCAACAGUACAAUCCUUAAGGAACCUUCACAGGCUGGACCUCAGUCGUAACAAACUCAGUGGCCCUGUGCCACAGUGGAUAGGAGAGCUCACAAAGCUAACAAGGCUGGUCCUUGGCUCCAACAAACUUCAUGGGGUCAUUAAUGAAGGCCAUUUAUCACGCCUAGAUAUGUUAGAGGAAUUGACAUUGUCAGACAACUCAAUAGCCAUCACAGUGAGUCCAACUUGGGUUCCUACUUUCAGUCUAAGUUUUAUUCAUCUUCGGUCCUGCCAGCUAGGGCCUAAGUUUCCAACGUGGCUUAAAUGGCAAACAGGCAUGUAUAGUGUUGAUAUAUCAAACACGAGCAUUAAUGACAUGGCACCGGGUUGGUUUUGGGUAGCAGCUUCCUCGGCAGGGUAUCUCAAUAUCCAAAAUAAUCAGAUCACAGGAGUCCUCCCUUCAACAAUGGAAUUCAUGAGGGCAGAAGCAAUGGAUUUCAGUUCUAACCAGCUUGGUGGUACAAUACCAAAGCUUCCCAUCAAUCUAACCUACCUGGAUCUCAGUCGGAACAAUGUAGUUGGGCCACUACCGUUGGACUUUGGAGCGCCAGGGCUUAGAAUGCUUCUUCUAUAUGACAACAUGAUCUCUGGCGCCAUUCCAUCUUCUUUGUGCAAGUUGCAAACAUUGCAGUUCUUAGAUCUAUCAAGAAAUAAUUUCAGUGGGCCAAUUACCGAUUGCCUAGUCAAUGAGUCCAGCACAAACAUGACAGUUCUGAGUAUCAUUAAUCUAAGCUUAAGAGACAACCACCUCUCGGGUGAUUUUCCUUUGCUUCUCCAUAAAUGCCCAGGACUCAUCUUUCUUGAUCUUGGACAUAAUCAGUUCUCUGGGACUUUACCAGCAUGGAUAGGGGAGAAGCUAUCAUCUUUGUCAUUCUUACGACUGAGAUCCAAUAUGUUUCAUGGUCACAUUCCAGUUGAGCUUACGAAGCUUGUUCAUCUUCAAUACUUGGACCUUGCGUACAACAAUAUAUCGGGGAGCAUACCGAGAUUUAUGCUUAAUUGUACAGGCAUGAUGCAAACAGGAUUCAACACUAAUGGUCUUCAGUAUGCAUUCAGUUCUGGAGUAUCGUCUGAUGAAAAUGAACUAGUUGACUAUACUGAGAAUAUAACAGUACUCACGAAAGGCCAAGAGAGAUUAUAUACAGGAGAAAUCAUAUAUAUGGUGAAUCUUGAUUUAUCCUGUAAUAGUCUUACUGGAUCAAUACCUGCAGAAAUCAGUACUCUUGUUGCAUUGAAGAGCCUGAACUUAUCAUGGAACAACUUCAAGGGAAAUAUACCUGAGAAUAUUGGAGCCUUAAUUCAAGUGGAAUCACUCGACCUAUCACACAAUGAGCUGUCUGGCGAAAUCCCUUCAAGCUUGUCGGCUCUCACAUCAUUGAGUCGCCUGAACCUACUGAGAUCCAAUAUGUUUUAUGGUCACAUUCCAGUCGAGCUUACAAAGCUUGUUAAUCUUCAAUACUUGGACCUUGGCUACAACAAUAUUUCGGGGAGCAUACCGAGAUCGAUUAUUAAUUUUACAGGCAUGACACAAACAAGAGACAACACUGAUGAUCUUCGGAAUGCAUUAACUUCUGGAGUAUUUAUUGAUGACAAUGACCUGGUUGACUAUUCUGAGAAUUUAACAGUACUCACGAAAGGUCAAGAGAGAUUAUAUUCAGGAGAAAUCAUAUAUAUGCUGAAUCUUGAUUUAUCCUGUAAUAGACUUACUGGAGAGAUUCCUGCAGAAAUCAGCACUCUUUUAGCACUGAAGAGCCUGAACUUAUCAUGGAACAACUUCGAUGGAAAAAUCCCUGAGAAUAUUGGCACCUUAAUGCAAGUAGAGUCACUCGACUUAUCACACAAUGAGUUGUCUGGUGAAAUCCCUUCAAGCUUGUCGGAUCUCACAUCAUUGAGUCGCCUGAACCUGUCCUACAACAGUCUGGGAGGAAAGAUACCAACUGGAAAUCAACUGCAAACACUUGAAGACCAGGCAUCUAUUUAUGUUGGCAACCCAGGUCUCUGCGGCCCCCCUCUCUCGCGGAGGUGUCCACAGCCCAAGCCAAUUCCAGAAGGAAACCAUGGAGAUGCAAGUGACGACGUGGUUUCGUUUUUCCUUGCCAUGGGGUCCGGAUAUGUGAUGGGUCUCUGGGUGGUGUUCUGCACCUUCUUGUUCAAGAAGAGAUGGAGAGUUUCGUGGUACUCACUCUGCGACAGCUUGUAUGACUGGGUUUAUGUGCAAGUGGCUGUUACCUGGGCUUCCUUGAGAGGUAGAAUUAAUGGGUAG
rnacentral:rRNA from 1 species